UACGUAGGGGGCAAGCGUUGUCCGGAUUUAUUGGGCGUAAAGAGCGUGUAGGCGGCCUUACAGGUCAGCUGUGAAAACUCGAGGCUCAACCUCGAGACGUCGGUUGAAACCGUAUGGCUAGAGUCCGGAAGAGGAGAGUGGAAUUCCCGGUGUAGCGGUGAAAUGCGCAGAUAUCGGGAAGAACACCCGUGGCGAAGGCGGCUACCUGGCACAUAACUGACGCUGAGACGCGAAAGCGUGGGGAGCGAACCGG
rnacentral:rRNA from 1 species